AACGAACGCUGGCGGCAUGCCUAACACAUGCCAGUCGAACGAGACCUUCGGGUCUAGUGGCGCACGGGUGCGUAACGCGUGGGAACCUGCCCUUAGGUUCGGAAUAACUCCCCGAAAGGGGUGCUAAUACCGGAUAAUGUCUUCGGACCAAAGAUUUAUCGCCUUUGGAUGGGCCCGCGUUGGAUUCGCUAGUUGGUAGGGUAAAAGCCUACCAAGGCGACGAUCCAUAGCUGGUCUGAGAGGAUGAUCAGCCACACUGGGACUGAGACACGGCCCAGACUCCUACGGGAGGCAGCAGUGGGGAAUAUUGGACAAUGGGCGAAAGCCUGAUCCAGCAAUGCCGCGUGAGUGAUGAAGGCCUUAGGGUUGUAAAGCUCUUUUACCCGGGAUGAUAAUGACAGUACCGGGAGAAUAAGCUCCGGCUAACUCCGUG
rnacentral:rRNA from 1 species